GUCUGAUACCAAUCCCAAUCUUCAUCUUUUCUAGUGUAAAAACAUACCUGGGAUCUGUUUUUAUUGGGAAAGAGAAGAUACGCAUGAAAAUGAUUUGUCAGGAAGGCAGUUUAUACACACGGAUCCCUAAAAUCGGGACACAUGGCACAUCGCACAAGGUCAUCUGGGGAAAGACCAGAGUUGGUCAGGAGGCAAGGAGAGCAAGGGGGAGCGUGGCCUGGAGUCUUUGCUGGGGUUUUCACAGGAAGGAACGGACAAGGCAGAAUAGGUACAUUGAGUAAGCUCAGCACUGGCCAGGUGAGAGUUUGAUAAAAGACAGUCAGGGUGUGGCUGUGGAUUGGUUGAUCUUUGUAUCAAAGCCACAUUCUCAGGGGAGUGAGGAAUUAGCCCUUCGAGGGAGAGUCUCCGGGAUCAAGGCCCCAAAUGCCACAGCAUCAAGGAUACAUAAAAUAAAAUGUGGGCAGUGGGAGGUUAUGCAGCAAAUCACGAACAAUUCCAAGGUUGCAGCGGCUUUUAGCUUCACGGAUUUUCCUCCCAACCAGUGGAGAGUGGGGGCAGGGAGUAAGCGUUCGCCUCAGCAUAGUCACCAAGAACGAGGGAGACUUUGUCCCAGCACAUGUCUCCAAAGUCACUGAUGAUGUGGGGUGAGGGAACGUGGCAGGUGGCACGCUUGCUCUUAAAGCUUCUGCCCAGGAGUGACAAGCAAGUUACACGGUCACACCAAACUAAAGAGGGCAGGGAACGUCAAUCCUACCACACACCAGGAAGAAAGGGAAGUGGGAUCUUGGUGUUCAGCUCUGAUGACGACUGUCCACCAUCACCUGAACCAGAAGAUGCCUUUUCUGUGCCAGCUGAUUUGUACUUACAAACAAAACCUCGGUGAGCAAGAACACAGGUGCCCUCUCAGUAUCCUUCCUCAUGAUCCACUCGUCACGGCGUUAUCUGUGUGUUCUACUCAGAGGUCACCUUGUGAGGCCCAGGGUUGAGUCAGAACUUGAAUCUGGAUCUUUCCACUCCAAGGCCAGUAGUGUCCCCAUCCCUGCUUCGACUUUGGGAAGAGGACACUUGGGUCCUUCACAGAUGGCUGACCUUCCCCCUUAAUCCGGCGACUCUCCCCUCCCUGCCUCUCCUGUCCUGACUUCCGACUUCAACCUGGAGCCCCCUUUGGCUCCCUUUCUGGUGAUUUUUGGGUCCAAAGACCCUGACGUGAGGACCAGACAUUUGAGUCUUUACCACACGAGCCAGUUCUCUAAACACACAGAGUGGGCACCGCGUCCAGUGACUGGUCACGCUCUGUGGUCUGGUAUUUACGAAUUUCUAGGAAGUGAGUCCAGGACCGUGUAGAAGACCGCUCAUUAUUUCGCUCAGUAAGCUGAGAUCGCUAUCAGAAGUGAAAGGGAGUUUUAAUUCCUUUUCAAAAAUACUUUCAUCCAGAAACCACUGGCUACCUGGCAUUUCGAAGGCUUUCCCGUGGUUGAACAUUUACAAGAAUGAUUUUGAACCAGUAACCGCUGACUUCCAAAUGCUAAUCAUUACUAAAUAUCCCCGAGCUGCAUGAUACUGCCUUUUGUCCAACUUCCUGGUUUCUUUAGCACUCACAUUUCAGUGGCUUAAUUGUCCUUUUUACAACUGCUCUAAGAAAAGGAAAAAAAAGAUUUCUUAAUGGUAUUCCCUGGUUUGUGCCAAAGGAUCCUAAUCUCCAAGGAGAGAGAACCAUUCUUAGUUUGAGGAAAUGUCAAGAGCUCUUCAAGCCUACAGGAACAGGGGACGAGGAAGAGGAGGGUGUACCCCAACUGUUACCCCAUAUUCCACUCCUGUUUAACUGGUCACAAUCACGGGGCCUUACUCAGCUUCCUCAGGUAGGUGGGGAAGGCACCAUCAGGUGUCUGACCAGAGCUCAGGUGGAGGUGGCGGGAAGCGUGGGCCGGUGCUCGUUACUAUAAAAGCAAGGAGAGAAAGGAUAGUGAGAGAACCAGAGACACGGUUCCAAAAACAGCCCCUCACUUGCUCAGUGUGGCUACCUGGAUCGGCUGUGCUCCCGGGAGCAGGCAUCAUGGAGGAGAAGAGCAGAGAAGGGCUACGUGGGGGUGCAGGCUGGCGGUGGGGGUGGGGGAGGGGCUUCCCAAGGAUGAGCCGGGUCCCCUCGCGCUGGGAUCCACCGCAGCUAGCCCAGUGCCCUGCACACCGCGGACGGUCCAAUCGAUCCCACACAGGAUUUGACCUGUAUUAGUCGAUGAUGGAUGAGUUACAGCCAAUUGAUUAGAGUGACAGACCGAUGGAAUUCAUGCCAGCUCGAAUUGCUCUUCCGAAAUCUACCUGGGCAGCGCUCCCUUUUACUUCAGAUCGGUUCCUUCGUCUGCGGGGGACCUACGGAGGCCAGGUCCUAAUUCGCCAGCCAGGAUUCUUCUCCCAUCUUCCAGCAUGCUUUCCAGCCUCGGCCGGCUUCAGGGACCAGCAUUUCGGGGGUGCCAGUGGAGCCAGGGUGCUGAGUCGUCCAACUGCUGCAGGGACAGGAAAGGAGCAGCGGGAUGCGCAGGACUUUUCUGGAAUGUCUUCCAUUAACCCUGGUUUUUAACUCCUCUUCGUCCUCUGGAUUCAGGAGCAGCCCCUAAAGGGACCUAGGGAGUCAACUCAACUGGUCUGCCUUCUCUGCCUGUAUUUUUCCCCAACGUUCCUCUUACCUGAAUGUAAUUGUCUUUAUAUUCUACCCCCCACUCUGUUCACCAUUGUGUCCCCCAUCCCCCAAGGGCACAGAUAAUGGCAUUGACAACUUCUGCCACCAGCUGAAAUGGGCUUCUGUCCUCAAGCUUCUCCUACAGAAGAUGUCCCUUGUUCCUUGUCACACCCACUUCGGGGACCCAAGACUCCUCUUACCCUAAAAGCCCCCACGGAAGGAAAGCUUCCCCCUCCUGCUCCCCUGGGCGUGGCUGGAGCUUCCCUGGACGGCCAGCAGAUGGAGCAGUUGUCCUCCUCAUCCUCUCUCCCUCGCCUCCCCUCCCAAACAAAGACCCGGAAAGAGUGGGGAAGGUGGGCUCGUGGGCAGGCCUCUCCCAGGACCCACAAGGGGAGAAACUUCCCACAAAGAAAGUCCCCAGGCCCCCUCCCCUACAGAACUGUCCCUCUUGGGCCAAGGGCCACCAAAGAGAGAAGGAAUGUGGGGCUGUACCCAGCCCUCCAGGGAGCACGUCCAUGUCCCAGGCCCAGUGUCAGAAGCCCCUGCUGUCCCCUCAUUGCUUCUAGUGCAGGCGGGUGGAUGCCAGAAAUCCCCCCAUCCGGGCCCGUUAGAUAUGACUGUAAGGUUUUGUCAGAGGCAACCGCACAGGGGCAGCGCGCGGCCCCCUGGGCCUUGUGUGCUGGAACUUUCUAGCUGCCAGCUCUGGGUUCGUGGCAGCAACUCAAAUUCAGGGCGGCUGGAAGCCAAGUCUCAGUUUCUUCAUCUCUAAGAAAGAGAGAUGAAGUUUAAUUUUUCCUGACAACACAGCUUGGAGGGGAUUAAUUAUACACGAAGGUGUCUGAGAAGCCGAAGCUGCCUGAUCCACGUUGGUUAAACUUCAAACACGCGCAGAUGCCUCCGGGGGAGACGCCGAGCGAGGAGACCCGGCCGCUCUUCUCCGGCAGUGGGUUGGGUGGGAUGCGCAGGGCAGGGCUGGCCAGGAGCCCUGGUCCUCUCUCAUCCGGACUAUCCCAAAGGCCCCCUCUGUGCUCUCCCCGCCUCCAGCCCUGCCAGCCUCUCUCCUUCCUCCUCCCUGCAGGUGUUUUCUCUAUAGAAAUCACACACCCUUCCUUGGCCUAAAAUACGUAUAUGGCUUUUCAAAUGCUCUCAGAAUAAAAGCCAAACUCAGAAAA